UUUAACUGAGCGUUCAGUUACUUGACGUAGACCCGAAACCGGGCGACCUACCCAUGAGCAGGAUGAAGCGAAAGUAAAAUUUCGUGGAGGGCCGAACCCACGAGCGUUGAAAAGCUCGGGGAUGACUUGUGGGUAGCGGUGAAAUUCCAAUCGAGCCCGGAGAUAGCUGGUUCUCCCCGAAAUAGCUUUAGGGCUAGCCUCAAGGUGAGAGAUACGGAGGUAGAGCACUGAA
rnacentral:rRNA from 1 species